GCAACACAACACAACAGCAACACAACACAACAGAUACACAACACUGACGGUGUGUCGUCUGUUUCAGAUCAUCGAGAAGAGGAAGAAGAUGGAGGCUGACGGGGUCGAUGUGAAGAGACCGAAAUACUGAAGACUCUGCUCCUCCUUUGUCUCGUCCUUCCCUCCUGAUCAAUAAUCAGCAUUGAUCGGUGAUCAGCUGAUACUUUGUGUGAAAUAUGUGUUUGGAAACUUUAAACUCAAGUGAGAACAGAAUGUUGUUGAAUAGUUUGUAGUAUUGAUGAUGUGUCUUUGGUCACCUGACGUUAUUGAUGAUCUCUUAUUGAUUACCUGAUGUUCUCCAUCGUUAUUGAUCAGUCUGUGAUUGCUGAAGUCCUUCACACCAAAACAAACCAAUAAAACCAUCAGAUCCCA